rnacentral:rRNA from 1 species
CCUAAGGCGAGGCUGAAAAGCGUAGUCGAUGGGAAACAGGUUAAUAUUCCUGUACUUGGUAAAGCUGCGAUGUGGGGACGGAGUAGGUUAGGUUAUCGCACUGUUGGAUAUGUGCGUUUAAGUUGGUAGGUGGGAAGUUUAGGCAAAUCCGGACUUCCUUAACACAGAGAGAUGAUGACGAGGCUCUACGGAGCUGAAGUAACUGAUACCACACUUCCAGGAAAAGCCACUAAGCGAAAGGCUUUACUAAACCGUACUGAAAACCGACACAGGUGGUCAGGUAGAGAAUACUCAGGCGCUUGAGAGAACUCGGGUGAAGGAACUAGGCAAAAUAGCACCGUAACUUCGGGAGAAGGUGCGCCGGCGUAGAUUGUAAGGGCUAGCCCCUGAAGGUUGAACCGGUCGAAGAUACCAGCUGGCUGCAACUGUUUAUUAAAAACACAGCACUCUGCAAACACGAAAGUGGAGGUAUAGGGUGUGAUGCCUGCCCGGUGCUGGAAGGUUAAUUGAUGGUGUAAUCGCAAGAGAAGCACCUGAUCGAAGCCCCAGUAAACGGCGGCCGUAACUAUAACGGUCCUAAGGUAGCGAAAUUCCUUGUCGGGUAAGUUCCGACCUGCACGAAUGGCAUAAUGAUGGCCAGGCUGUCUCCACCCGAGACUCAGUGAAAUUGAAAUCGCCGUGAAGAUGCGGUGUACCCGCGGCUAGACGGAAAGACCCCGUGAACCUUUACUAUAGCUUGACACUGAACAUUGAAUUUUGAUGUGUAGGAUAGGUGGGAGACUUAGAAGCAGUCACGCCAGUGAUUGUGGAGUCGACCUUGAAAUACCACCCUUUAACGUUUGAUGUUCUAACGAAGAUGACGAAACGUGGUCUCGGACAGUGUCUGGUGGGUAGUUUGACUGGGGCGGUCUCCUCCCAAAGCGUAACGGAGGAGCACGAAGGUUUGCUAAUGACGGUCGGACAUCGUCAGGUUAGUGCAAUGGUAUAAGCAAGCUUAACUGCGAGACAGACAAGUCGAGCAGGUACGAAAGUAGGUCAUAGUGAUCCGGUGGUUCUGAAUGGAAGGGCCAUCGCUCAACGGAUAAAAGGUACUCCGGGGAUAACAGGCUGAUACCGCCCAAGAGUUCAUAUCGACGGCGGUGUUUGGCACCUCGAUGUCGGCUCAUCACAUCCUGGGGCUGAAGUAGGUCCCAAGGGUAUGGCUGUUCGCCAUUUAAAGUGGUACGCGAGCUGGGUUUAGAACGUCGUGAGACAGUUCGGUCCCUAUCUGCCGUGGGCGUAGGAUGAUUGAUUGGGGCUGCUCCUAGUACGAGAGGACCGGAGUGGACGCAUCACUGGUGUUCCAGUUGUCUCGCCAGAGGCAUUGCUGGGUAGCUAAAUGCGGAAGAGAUAAGUGCUGAAAGCAUCUAAGCACGAAACUUGCCAAGAGAUGAGUCAUCCCUGACUUUAAGUCAGUAAGGGUUGUUGUAGACUACGACGUAGAUAGGUCAGGUGUGUAAGUGUAGUGAUACAUUGAGCUAACAGAUACUAAU